rnacentral:rRNA from 1 species
AGUCGAGGGGCAUCAGGAAGAAGCUUGCUUUCUUUGCUGGCGACCGGCGCACGGGUGAGUAACACGUAUCCAACCUGCCCUUUACUCGGGGAUAGCCUUUCGAAAGAAAGAUUAAUACCCGAUGGCAUAAUGAUUCCGCAUGGUUUCAUUAUUAAAGGAUUCCGGUAAAGGAUGGGGAUGCGUUCCAUUAGGUUGUUGGUGAGGUAACGGCUCACCAAGCCUUCGAUGGAUAGGGGUUCUGAGAGGAAGGUCCCCCACAUUGGAACUGAGACACGGUCCAAACUCCUACGGGAGGCAGCAGUGAGGAAUAUUGGUCAAUGGGCGCUAGCCUGAACCAGCCAAGUAGCGUGAAGGAUGAAGGCUCUAUGGGUCGUAAACUUCUUUUAUAUAAGAAUAAAGUGCAGUAUGUAUACUGUUUUGUAUGUAUUAUAUGAAUAAGGAUCGGCUAACUCCGUGCCAGCAGCCGCGGUAAUACGGAGGAUCCGAGCGUUAUCCGGAUUUAUUGGGUUUAAAGGG